rnacentral:tRNA from 3 species
GGGCAUGUGGUGGAAUGGUAGACACGCUAGUCUUAGGAACUAGUGCUAACGCGUGGGAGUUCGAGUCUCUUCAUGCCCACCA